rnacentral:lncRNA from 10 species
UUCCAUUGAUCUGGAAGUGAAGACUGCUGCCCACUUUGGGCUCCUCAUGCCUCUGAGUCAACAGGCAAAGAAGGGAGUUACUGUGUUGGCUGGAAUGAUUGAUCCUGGCUUUCAAGAUGAUCUCUGCACAUGUUGGGUUCCUUUCUGCCUUUGGCCACUAAUGGAAGCAGCCUGAGGCCCUCACCAGAUGUAGAUGCCCAAUCUUGAACUUUCCGGCCAUCAGAAUCAUGAACCAAAUAAACCAUUUUUCUUUAUAAAGUACCCAGCCUCAGGUAUUCCUUUAUAGCAACACAAAGUGGACUAAGACACCAAUACUAGUGUCCUUAUAAGGCCAUCUGAGCACAAAGACAUACACAGAGAAAGGCUUGUAAACAUGGAGGCAAAGAUUGAAGUAAAGAAGCUACAAGUUAAGGAAUAUCAAGGAUUGCCAAUAACUGCUAGAAGCUUGGAAGAAGGAGGGAAGGAUUCUUCCUUCCACCCUUCAGAGGGAUCAUGGCCCCAGUGAUGCCUUGAUUUCAGACUCCUAGCCUCCAGAACUGUGAGAGAACAUAGUCAUGGACUGUAUAAUGACUUUUAGGUCAACAACAGACCACAUAUAUGACAGAAAUCCUAUAAGAUUAAAAUGGAACUGAAAAACUCCUAUCACCUAGUGAUGUCAUAGCCAUCAUACAUCAUAGCCCAAUCAUUUUAUUUUAAAAUAAAUUUUGUGUAGCCUAAGUGUAUAGCACAUCCUCAAAUAACAUCGUUUUGUUCAAAGUCAUUUUGUUAUAACAUUGAUGAGAAAAAAAUAAAGUCUAUUCCCAGCUCAGGCCACUGUCUGUGAGGAGUUCUCACAUUCGCCCCACGUCUGCAUGGGUUUUCUCCGGGUACCCCAGUUUCUUCUCACAUCCCAAAGAUGUGAAUGUUAGGUGAAGUGGUGUGUCUAAAUGGUACCAAUAAAAUCUACAGUCGUGUACAGUUGUGUCCUAAAGGCCAUCAUAUUCAUUUGCCACUUAGUGACUCACCCAGAGCAACUUCCAGUCCUGC